UGGCUGCCUCAGCUUAGUGGUAGAGCAUCUGCUUGGCAUGCAGACAGUCCCAAGUUCAAUCCUCAGCAUCCCCAGUUAA
rnacentral:tRNA from 1 species